rnacentral:rRNA from 1 species
UACGUGGGGGGCAAGCGUUGUUCGGAAUUACUGGGCGUAAAGGGCGCGUAGGCGGUUCGCUAAGUCGGAUGUGAAAACUCUGGGCUCAACCCAGAGCCUGCAUCCGAAACUGGCGGGCUAGAGUUCUGGAGGGGGUAGCGGAAUUCCUGGUGUAGCGGUGAAAUGCGCAGAUAUCAAGAGGAACACCAGUGGCGAAGGCGAGUCCCUGGACAACACCUGACACUGAGGCACGAAAGCCGGGGGAGCAAACAGG